GACGAACGCUGGCGGCGUGCUUAACACAUGCAAGUCGAACGGAAAGGCCCGGCUUUUGUGGGGUGCUCGAGUGGCGAACGGGUGAGUAACACGUGAGUAACCUGCCCUUGACUUUGGGAUAACUUCAGGAAACUGGGGCUAAUACCGGAUAGGAGCUCCUGCUUCAUGGUGUGGGUUGGAAAGUUGCGGCGGUUGGGGAUGUACUCGCGGCUUAUCAGCUUGUUGGUGGGGUAGUGGCUUACCACGGCUUUGACGGGUAGACGGCCUGAGAGGGUGACCGGCCACAUUGGGAAUGAGAUACGGCCCAGACUCCUACAGGAGGCAGAAGUGGGGAAUAUUGCACAAUGGGCGGAAGCCUGGUGCAGCAACGCCGCGUGCGGGAUGACGGCCUUCGGGUUGUAAACCGCUUUCGCCUGAGACGAAGAGUGAGUGACGGUAAUGGGUAAAGAAGCAACGGCUAACUACGUG
rnacentral:rRNA from 1 species